rnacentral:misc_RNA from 1 species
UUGUGGAGGAGGACGCCGAAGGUGGGGCUAAUGACUGGGGUGAAGUCGUAACAAGGUAGCCGUACCGGAAGGUGCGGCUGGAUCACCUCCUAACAGGGAGACAACAAAAUGUUUAAUAUUAUUAUUUUGUCACCUUAGGUCGAUCGGUACCUCACGUUUUUAAUUUAUUAAGAAUUUCAUUUCCUAAGUUUUUCUAGGUCACACCCAUUAUUUUUCCUGGGCCAUUAGCUCAGGUGGUUAGAGCGCACCCCUGAUAAGGGUGAGGUCCCUGGUUCAAGUCCAGGAUGGCCCAUAUCUCUAUGUUGGGGGUAUAGCUCAGUUGGUAGAGCGCCUGCUUUGCAAGCAGGAUGUCAGCGGUUCGAGUCCGCUUACCUCCACUGAUUACCACCUCUUCCAUAAUCUGUAGAAAGGAAAUGUUUUGAGUUGUGAUCAAAUUCUGAACGAAUCUAGCUUCCUAAUGAAAUCAUUAAGAUGCUGGACUCAGUGAAUCAAUUUCAUUGUUUUCAGAGAACCUUGACAACUGCAUAGACUAUUUUUGAAAAGACAAUAAGCAUCUUUAAUGAUGCAGAUUUAUUAUUUGUGCGAAUGCAUUAAUAACAAUUCUAUUAAGCUGAUGCUUCAUUUUGAAGUUAUUGGUCAAGCUACAA